UACGUAGGGUGCGAGCGUUGUCCGGAAUUAUUGGGCGUAAAGAGCUCGUAGGCGGCCUGUCGCGUCGGUUGUGAAAGCCCGGGGCUUAACCCCGGGUCUGCAGUCGAUACGGGCAGGCUAGAGUUCGGUAGGGGAGAUCGGAAUUCCUGGUGUAGCGGUGAAAUGCGCAGAUAUCAGGAGGAACACCGGUGGCGAAGGCGGAUCUCUGGGCCGAUACUGACGCUGAGGAGCGAAAGCGUGGGGAGCGAACAGG
rnacentral:rRNA from 2 species